rnacentral:rRNA from 1 species
AACUUCUGAAUGUUGACCUCGGAUCAGGUAGGAAUACCCGCUGAACUUAAGCAUAUCAAUAAGCGGAGGAAAAGAAACCAACAGGGAUUGCCCUAGUAACGGCGAGUGAAGCGGCAACAGCUCAAAUUUGAAAUCUGGCUCUCGGGCCCGAGUUGUAAUUUGUAGAGGAUGCUUUUGAUGCGGUGCCUUCCGAGUUCCCUGGAACGGGACGCCAUAGAGGGUGAGAGCCCCGUCUGGUUGGAUGCCAAAUCUCUGUAAAGCUCCUUCGACGAGUCGAGUAGUUUGGGAAUGCUGCUCUAAAUGGGAGGUAUAUGUCUUCUAAAGCUAAAUACCGGCCAGAGACCGAUAGCGCACAAGUAGAGUGAUCGAAAGAUGAAAAGCACUUUGAAAAGAGAGUUAAAAAGUACGUGAAAUUGUUGAAAGGGAAGCGUUUAUGACCAGACUUGGGCUUGGAUAAUCAUCUGGGGUUCUCUCCAGUGCACUUUUCCAGUCCAGGCCAGCAUCAGUUUUCGCCGGGGGAUAAAGGCUUCGGGAAUGUGGCUCCCUCCGGGGAGUGUUAUAGCCCGUUGCGUAAU